CUGAUGUCUUCCAGGAAGUUCCAGUGCCUUCCUGAAGCUUCCAAUGGCUUUCUGAAGAUCCCAGCUCCCACUGAGCUCCCAGGAGCAGAAAGGCAGUGCCCUUGGGGCUGCAGACUACAUGUCCUGUACCAGGUCAUGGUCAGCUCACACUUGCUCUUCUCUUUUGGGGAGACCUUGCCUGCAGCAGAGUCUGACUCUAGGAAAUUCCAGCUAGCUAUGCCCAGCUUUUGGCAGAACUGAACCAACAAAAUGGUUCUGAGUCCCCUUUGACAGAUGGGGCCGUUUCAGCUGACAGAAAUUAUCUAACAUCUUCCAAGCAAGGAGGCCCCCGAAGCUCACCUUCUCAGAAGGUUCCUUAAGAGAGGCUGCACUGCUAGGAGACCAUGGUUAUGAGGAGGGUCCCCCAGGAGCCGGUUACCCGGGAAACGCCAGCAGGAGAAGCCUUGCUCCACUCAGCCUUGAUGGGACUGAGGGCUGGACAGACCCUUGUUGCCUGCUCGAGGGGAGGAAUGACACCAGAACCGCCAAUUGGAGUUUCCCAUGAAUUUCUCCAUAAGGAGAGGAUGACCCAGGUUGGCCCAAGGAACCUCUAUCUUGGGCUUUUGUUUGGAAAGAGAAAAUCCCUUUGACCUCGAAGGUGGGGAACGCGGCCGAAUACAUCAGGGCUGUCUCAAGGAAUGAGCUUGCUUGGAAAUGAAUCCAGCAGGAGGGAGUGCAGAGCUGAACCAGUGAGGGGAGAACGGAGUCCUGGUGCAUCCUUCAAGGGCUUGGGUCUGGCUGUCUCAGUUCUGCCCGGGAAUUGUCCAC
rnacentral:lncRNA from 1 species